rnacentral:rRNA from 1 species
CCUACGGGCGGCAGCAGUGAGGAAUAUUUGUCAAUGGACGAGAGUCUGAACCAGCCAAGUAGCGUGAAGGAUGACUGCCCUAUGGGUUGUAAACUUCUUUUAUAUGGGAAUAAAAUGUUCCACGUGUGGGAUUUUGUAUGUACCAUAUGAAUAAGGAUCGGCUAACUCCGUGCCAGCAGCCGCGGUAAUACGGAGGAUCCGAGCGUUAUCCGGAUUUAUUGGGUUUAAAGGGAGCGUAGGUGGAUUGUUAAGUCAGGUGUGAAAGUUUGCGGCUCAACCGUAAAAUUGCAGUUGAAACUGGCAGUCUUGAGUACAGUAGAGGUGGGCGGAAGUCGUGGUGUAGCGGUGAAAUGCUUAGAUAUCACGAAGAACUCCGAUUGCGAAGGCAGUUCACUGGACUGCAACUGACACUGAGGCUCGAAAGUGUGGGUAUCAAACAGGAUUAGAUACCCCAGUAGUC